rnacentral:miRNA from 1 species
UUAGGAACCUGGAUGUGCAUU